ensembl:lncRNA
CAAAAUAAUCAAUACAUUAAUUACAUUAAAUACAUUAAUACGUGUCUUUUUUCAAAACAAACGACUAAUGUUGUGCAAAAAGGGGUUUCUACUGAAUUUCAUGGUUUCAGGGUUUAUGCUUGUUUAAAGAGUAAACUUAACAUAACUGACUGUUUUUGAGAUAUCAUAUUUUGCCUAAUUUUUCAAAUGCCUUUUGGGGUUUUCCUUUCUAUUCCUGCAAACACCACAUUUGCCAUAUGCUACUUCUAACAGUAAAUAAAUAGAGCUGCAGAUCUCUUGAAAAAUAUGUUGAUUAGUUAAUUCUAUACUUCACCAUAUGUUUCCACAUUUUAUUUUCUUUAGGAAAAAUAUAUUUUAGUUUCACUUUUCUCUUGAAGUAUCACAGCGUACAAGCCUCUGCUGAACAUACGUCCCUGUUCUCAGAUACACACGUGCAUCCACUGGCACAUGCCAAAAGUGAGAGCGCGGACAUGUAAAAAUCAGACAUAAAAAUGAAUUCCUGCCCCCGUAAGUACUUUGAUCUUUCCACCCACUACCCCCACACACACUUUCCUAACAAUCAUUGGGACAAAUCGCUGUGGGACCUUCCUCCAUGUCUCCUAGCAGUCAUACAUUGCCUUUCCGUUUAAGCCGUGACACACAGCAAUGUAAAAAUAACACAGUGGCACUUAAAAAGACACUAGGGUAAAGGAGACAAGGGAGCCAAAAGCAUUUCUGUUCAUCUCUAAUGGGACACCCACAAAUACCAGAAAAGGGGUAUUUGUCACCAAUGCACGAACGGAAAACUAAUCAAAUGACUGUCAGGAUGGACUCAUUGGCUGCCAAGAACAACCCUAAAAAUAGUAUAUAAAUACAUAUAUAUCGUUGAAGCUCAAUCACGCUUAAAAUAAUAAAAGAAAAGCCUGAUAAGAUUACAACUGUUCCAAAUCAUUAGAUGACAAAGGAGUAAUAGUUUGAGAAUGUGUGGAAAUUCCAACUAGGCGUUUUCCUGCAGAUAUUUAGUUUAGAAGACAUGUCCAUGCUCAUGUGAACAUUCCAAAAUAAGUUGUUUCCCUGCAGGACUUUUUCAAUAAAAUUGCUACUUACAAGUAAAAUAACUUCUUUCAAAAUACAAAAUUAUCAUGAGCAAAAUGUACUUAAAGAUUCAAAAGUAAAAGUACACAUCAUGUAGAAAGGACCCUUUGAUGGUCAUCAAGUAUUAUCUUACUUUUGUGUCAGACAUUUGGCCUAUCACAGGGCAGAACAAGACUUCACUAUUCAUUGAAUAGAAGAAAAUAUUAUAUACAUAAAAUAAUAACACAUAAAUACAAACUAAAAAAUAAUUAACAUAAAAUGCAUUUUGACUUUCAAAUAACCUUUUGGACUUGUGGACAGAAUGUUAUGAGUAAAUAAUUCUACAAUACAAAAAAAAGUUUACAAAGUUUAUCCUGAUUUAAUUUCUCCGGAUCUUCCCAAUAUGUUUCCAUAUUUAUUGGGUAUUAUGUGUUUGGAGUGCAACCAAUGUGUAUAGAACCAAACAUUUUUUUAAGGUUAAAUUACAAAAGUGUAUCAGUUCAAUUCCGUCCACAUUUUAACUACUUUAUAUCUUUAACACUUAUAUACUGUUCAUAUUUAAUGCCUUUGCAGUAGUCCGGCACUCUGGGUCAAUGACAAAUUUUAAACUACACAUCUAUUCAGAAUGUCUAAAUAGCCAAUGACUCAGUAAUACAGGCAUAUGCAAUAAAUAUUUUUAUUAAGGAUUAAAGAAUAUUUUUUAAGCUUGAUCAGGAAUCAGGAAACAUUUAUUGCCAAAAUAUGUCAUACAUACAAGGAAUUUGACUUGGCGGUUGGUGCGUGACAGUAGACAGUGUAACAACAGACAACAAGACAGCAGUGCACAAGAAAUAAAAUGAAAUGCUAAUGCUAUGGGUUAGUAGAAUAAGGCUAUGUGUUAGUAUAAAAUAAGAGAAUACAGUUAAAGUUAAAAAUAUAAAAUAUUUAAAAAGUAAAAAAAUAUUACAAAAUAAAGUGCACUAGCAACAAGUGACAAAGUGACGAGUGACGACAAAGUGAUGAGUGAAAAAUGACAGUUAAAGUGACAUGUGCAGUAUGAAAGAGAGUGGAAUGUCAGAGUCAGUCAGUGGGGGACUGGGCUCUGUUGAUGAGGCAGACUGCCGACGGGAUGAAACUGUUUGUGUGGCGGGAGGUCUUAGUCCUGAUAGACCUCAGCCUCCUACCAGAUGGAAGGGGCACAAACAGGUUUUGUCCGGGGUGAGAGGGGUCGGCUACGAUCUUUUUAGCUCGCUUCAGAGACCCAAGAAGCGAACAAGUCCUGCAGGGACGGCAGAUUGCAGCCGAUCACCCUCUCUGCAGAGCGGAUGACACGCUGCAGCCUGCCCUUGUCCUUGGCUGUGGCUGCAGCGGCGUACCAGACGGUGAUGGAGGAGCAGAGGAUGGACUCGAUGAUGGCCUUGUAAAAGUGGACCAUCAUCGUCUUUGGCAGGUUGAAUUUCUUUAGCUGCCUCAGGAAGAACAACCUCUGCUGAGCCUUCUUUGUGAUGGAGCUGAUGUUCAGCUCCCACUUGAGGUCCUGGGUGAUGAUGGAGCCCAGGAAACGUAAGGAAUCCACAAUAGUGACGGGGGAGUCACACAGGGUAAUGGGGGAAGGUGGGGCUCUGUUCCUCCAGAAAUCCACAACCAUCUCCACUGUCUUUAGAGCAUUGAGCUCCGGGUUGUUCUGGCUGCACCACGACACCAGAUGGUCAGACUGCCACCUGUAGGCGGACUCAUCCCCACCAGAGAUCAGUCCAAUGAGGGUGGUGUCAUCCGCAAACCUCAGGAGCUUGAUGGACUCGUGACUGGAGGUGCAGCUGUUGGUGUACAGGGAGAAGAGCAGAGGGGAAAGAACACAGCCUUGGGGGGAGCCGGUGCUGAUGGUCCGAGAGGCUGAGACAUGUUUCCCCAGCUCCACGUGCUGUUUCCUGUCAGACAGGAAGUCUGUGAUUCACUUGCAGGUGGAGUUGGGCACGUGCAGCUGGGAGAGUUUGUCCUGCAGCAGGGACGGGAUGAUGGUGUUGAAGGCAGAGCUGAAGUCCACAAACAGGAUCCUGGCGUAGGUUCCCGGGGAGUCCAGAUGCUGGAGGAUGUAGUGGAGGGCCAUGUUGACAGCAUCGUCCACAGACCUGUUGGCUCUGUAGGCGAACUGCAGGGGGUCCACGAGGGGGUCAGUGAGGGACUUCAGGUGGGUCAGGACUAGCCGUUCAAAAGACUUCAUGUAGUGAUUGAGUCCUGUGAUCCUGGGCUUCUUGGGAACAGCGAUGAUGGUGGAGGCCUUGAAGCAGGCUGGUACGUGGCAGGUCUCCAGGGAGGUGUUGAAGAUGUCAGUGAACACCGGAGACAUCUGGUCAGCACAAUGCUUCAGGGUAUGGGGGGAAACCGAGUCCGGACCGGCUGCCUUACGGGGAUUUUGUCUUUUAAAGAGCACAUUAACGUCUCUCUCCAGAAUAGAGAGGGUCGUUGCUGGUGGGGGAGGGGAAGGUCAUAUAGAUGUAGAGGCUUGAGCACCUGAUGGGCUGGGGGAGGGAGGGGUGCGGGACUGCAGCAGGUUGGUGGAGCUGUGGGGAAUGGGAUCAGGACAUUCUCUUUCGAAUCUGCAGUAGAACUCAUUCAGCUCGUCUGCCAGGCGGAGGUCAUUCAUGCAGUGGGGUUUUUUUGGCUUGUAGUUAGUGAGGUGUUUGAGGCCUCUCCAAACCAAAGCAGAGUCACUUGCUGAGAACUGUUUCUCAGAGUACAGUCAUUUAGCAUCUCUCACCGAUCUUUGUCCCCACUCCUAAAUGCCUGAUCCUUCCGCAGACGUAGUGUUCCGAGUUCCGCUGUGAACCAGGGUUUGUCGUUGUUGUAACUCACCCUGGUGCAUGAUGGUACACAGCUGUCCCCACAGAAGCCGAUGUAGGAAGUUACAGCCUCUGUGAACUCAUCCAGACUGUCAGUAGCAGUCCUGAAAACAUCCCAGUCUGUGCAGUCAAAGCACGCCCGAAGAUCCUCCAGCGCCUCACUGUCCACUUCUUGAAUUCCCUCACCACAGGUUUGCUUUAGUUUCUGCUUGUAUGCAGGAAUCAGAUGGACCAUGACGUGGUCAGAGUGUCCCAGUGCAGCACGAGGGACGGCGUGAUAAGUCCUGCUUACUGUGGUGUAACAGUGAUCCAGCGUGUUCUCCUCUCUGGUGGGGCAUUUAAUAAACUGUCUGUAUUUAGGUAGUUCAUGGGUGAGAUUACCUUUGUUAAAGUCCCCGAGGACAAUAACUAAAGAGUCCGGGUUGGUCCGCUCCACAUGCCGUAUCUGGUCGGCAAGUGUCCGCUGUGCCUCGUGCACGUUGCCCGCCGGCGGCAUGUAAACACCGACCAGGAUGAAUGAAGCGAACUCACGGGGAAUCCGGUAUCGAUCCUCAGAGCCACGUCUCCGUGGGUUAGAGCCACGUCUCCGUGAAUCACAAAACGGAGGAUGUAGAGAAGUCUCUGUCUCUCCUCACCUGCAGCUGAAUUUCGUCCAGUUUGUUGCACAGUGAGCGCACGUUGGAGAGAAAGAUGCCUGGCAGUGGAGUGCGAGAACCACGCUUGCGGAGUGUCACCAGCGAGCUGGCCCGUUUUCCUCUCCUACGGCGUCUCACCAUGUGAUGAAAGGUGAGCGCACCUUUGACUAUAAUGUCCAGUCAUUCCACGGAAGAUAGCAGGAAAGUUGCAAGUAACUCCGCUGGAGUUGUUCCACGGAUGUUCAAGAGCUCAUCUCUGGUGAAAGAGCUCCGGGAAUCGCAGCAGGAAACUUAAUUAACAACAAAAACAACAAAAAACGAAGCGCACCGAAGCACCGUGGCAGCCAUCAAGGGCGCCAUCUUGGAACAGGAUCUUUUAUGUUGGGAGGAGAGCAGCAAGACAUAAUUUAGAAGAUAAACAAUGCUUUUAUUAAUAAGCCAAAACCUAUAAUACUAUAAAAUAACUGCAAUUAUAUUGACAUCAGGUAAAAAGCCAGCCGUCUGUCCUGGGCUCUUCCAACCUUCAUGGACACCACCGCCUGAAAUAGUGGCUAAUAUACGCCUGGUACAAUUGUAGGUUAUAAAAACAUGCAAAUAAAACAAGCCAUGUUACAGACUACAGCCACCAUUAAUCUGGAUUGCAGCAGGACUAUUGGUCAGGUUAAACAAGGAAUUUAAAAAAAUGAAAAUUGCGGGCUCUAAGAUAAAAAAAAAAAAGAAUUUUUUUUUUUGAGACAGCCAAGAUUAGCGCAAAAAUUCCCCAAAUUAGCUUUUCUAGUUGUCCUUUUUUGUUGUUUCUUUUGCUUGCAUUCUAGUCUGACAUCAAUUGUCAUGAACAAGCGCUUAGUUUCAUAUGCCUGCGCUACAUGGGCAACUUGACUUGAACAAUCAGACUGGAUCGAUGUGGCAAAAAAUUGCUAAUAUAGGUACAAGGUUAGGAGAAUGAGGAGGAAGAAUGUGCCACAGCCGUCACAAUCAGCAGUGUCAAGCAAUCACUCGGGAGUUAAAAAAAAGCAAAAAUGUGUAAUGUGGAGGAGACCAGGGAGAGGAGUGAAAGAUGAGUCGGCCAAAGUAGGGAGGAUUGGAAGAAUGCACGGAUUACAUGAUUUCAGAAGGAUAAGACCAUGAGCCCGAUGAGCCUUAAAUGGGACGCAAUACAAAAGCAGGAGAAGAGAAUGUAUUUGAAUGGGACUCAAUAGGAGGCAGAGCGUGCAGCAGGAAAACAGUAGGCAGGUGGUGGUUAGCGGCAGAAAAAGAGGGCUUGGUAAGUGUGCAAGAUUGAUCGGUGAUUGCGCUUGGAAUUUGUGGCACUGAGUGUAGAAGCAAUAAAGAGCAAGAGAGUUGUAAAGACGAGGGAAUAUAAACUCCCAGAUGCCAGGUAUGUUUCCUACUGGGACGGGCGAGACGACAGGAGUCUAAUGAGUUCCCUCAUAGCCAGGCGGGUUUCAUCUUAUGAAUCAAACAAACAGUCUUACACACACCUUCGCACAAAGGCUCACAUAGCUGUAAUGAAUUACAGAGCUGGCAGCCUUAAACCUUGGCCUUGCACCUUAUCACACAAUAAACGCAUACAUCAUUUUGCUGGGCCGAUCGAUCCCUACACAACCAUUUGACACAAAUACACAUGGAAUCAAAGGGCCAGUGACAUAUUCCAUCACCUGUUGUAUCCUUGAAACCCUUCCACCAGCCUCCACAUUUUCUCACACAAUGGACAACAAUAUAUUGAAACAUUCAUGUCCCACUAUUUGUCUUGCAAAGGUUAAAUCUCAAAGACGCUUGAGCUAUAGGAAUGUGUGUAGAGGGUGUGUGUCAGCGCUCUCCCACGCUCUGACAGAGUGGAGAACACCAGAACAUCAGGAGACAACAACCUGCUCAGACAAAAGCAUCUCACUAGUGAGCGUAAGAGCAUCACACCAGUAAAC